CCGGGGCAAGGCAACCUCCCGGUCAGGCGUUCGCCCAAGCGUUGC
rfam:Sphingopyxis sp. 113P3, complete genome.